rnacentral:rRNA from 1 species
AUUUUCUUUAAAUUCAAAGAAUUUGGCGGUGAUUUAGUCUGGUCAGAGGAACCUGCUUUUUAAUCGAUAUAACACGUAAGAGCUUACUUAUUUUUGUUUUAGUUUGUAUACCAUCAUUAUCAGAUAAUUUUAUAAAAAAAUAAAAUUAUUAAAAGUAAUUAUAUUAGUGAAAUUAGAUCAAGGUGCAGCUUAUAAAUAAGUUAAAGUGGGUUACAAUAAGGUUUACUUAGACGAAAUAAGGUUAGUUAUGAAUCUUAGGAAGGAGGAUUUGAUUGUAAUAUAAAAUUUAAUAAGUUUAGGAGAUAGGAGCUCUGGAUUGCGUACACAUCGCC